rnacentral:tRNA from 1 species
GUGGAAGUAGCUCAGCCGGUAAGAGCGUCUGACUGUGGAUCAGAAGGCCGGGGGUUCGAAUCCCCUCUUCCACC